GGUUCCUUGGUCUAGUUGGUUAUGGCAUCUCGUUAACACCGAGAAAGUCUCCGGUUCAAUCCCAGACAGAACCA